AUUGAACGCUGGCGGCAGGCCUAACACAUGCAAGUCGAGCGGAUGACGGGAGCUUGCUCCUUGAUUCAGCGGCGGACGGGUGAGUAAUGCCUAGGAAUCUGCCUGGUAGUGGGGGACAACGUUCCGAAAGGGGCGCUAAUACCGCAUACGUCCUACGGGAGAAAGUGGGGGAUCUUCGGACCUCACGCUAUCAGAUGAGCCUAGGUCGGAUUAGCUAGUUGGUGAGGUAAAGGCUCACCAAGGCGACGAUCCGUAACUGGUCUGAGAGGAUGAUCAGUCACACUGGAACUGAGACACGGUCCAGACUCCUACGGGAGGCAGCAGUGGGGAAUAUUGGACAAUGGGCGAAAGCCUGAUCCAGCCAUGCCGCGUGUGUGAAGAAGGUCUUCGGAUUGUAAAGCACUUUAAGUUGGGAGGAAGGGCAGUAAGUUAAUACCUUGCUGUUUUGACGUUACCGACAGAAUAAGCACCGGCUAACUCUGUGCCAGCAGCAGCCGCGGUAA
rnacentral:rRNA from 1 species